GUCAAAUCAUCAUGCCCCUUAUGUCCUGGGCUACACACGUAAUACAAUGGCGUUUUAACAAAGGGAAGCUAAGCCGCGAGGCGGAGCAAAUCCCCAAAAAGCGUCUCAGUUCGGAUUGCAGGCUGCAACCCGCCUGCAUGAAGUCGGAAUUGCUAGUAAUCGCGGAUCAGCAUGCCGCGGUGAAUACGUUCUCGGGCCUU
rnacentral:rRNA from 1 species